CCUACGGGAGGCAGCAGUGGGGAAUAUUGCACAAUGGGGGAAACCCUGAUGCAGCGACGCCGCGUGAGUGAAGAAGUAUUUCGGUAUGUAAAGCUCUAUCAGCAGGGAAGAAAAUGACGGUACCUGAUCAAGAAGCCCCGGCCAACUUCGUGCCAGCAGCCGCGGGAAUAAGUAGGGGGCAAGCGUUAUACGGAAUUACUGGGUGUAAAGGGAGCGUAGACGGCAGGACAAGUCUGGAGUGAAAAGCCGGGGCUUAACCCCGGAACUGCUUUGGAAACUGUACGGCUAGAGUGCAGGAGAGGUAAGUGGAAUUCCUAGUGUAGCGGUGAAAUGCGUAGAUAUUAGGAGGAACACCAGUGGCGAAGGCGGCUUACUGGACUGUAACUGACGUUGAGGCUCGAAAGCGUGGGGAGCAAACAGGAUUAGAUACCCGUGUAGUC
rnacentral:rRNA from 1 species